UACGUAGGGUGCAGGCGUUAAUCGGCAUUAUUGGGCGUAAAGCGCACGUAGGCGGGUCUUUAAGUCAGGGGUGAAAUCCUGGAGCUCAACUCCAGAACUGCCUUUGAUACUGAGGAUCUCGAGUCCGGGAGAGGUGAGUGGAACUCCGAGUGUAGAGGUGAAAUUCGUAGAUAUUCGGAAGAACACCAGUGGCGAAGGCGGCUCACUGGCCCGGUACUGACGCUGAGGUGCGAAAGCGUGGGGAGCAAACAGG
rnacentral:rRNA from 1 species